GGCGUAUGCUAACAAGCUCUUUUCCACUGGGAUUUCCCUGCUAUGAGAUGUACACCUGAAGUUGCUGAAACUGCUGUCAGGAAAGGACUAGGAGGACUUCCAGGACUAUGUUAACUAGGUCUUGUUCCUGAUCUUAGAAGAAAAGCUCUCAAUUUUUCAUCACCAACCAAGAUAUUAGCUGUGGAUUUUCCAUACAUGGCCUUUACUAUGUUGAGUUUCUCUCUCCUUCGGCAACCUGCUGAACAAUGUACGAACGCUCACAGCAAGAUGAGAGCAGUGGUAUUGCAGUCCUGGUGGAGAACAUCCAGGGUGCUCGAGACGGCUUUACAAAUCAUGCCCCAGUCCCAGUUCUGGAGAUACUGGUGUAUUAGAUCGAAAAUGGGCCUGGGGGACUAGUUUUAAUCAUGUCCAUAGGUGGUUCUGAUGCACACUCCAGCUUGGGAGAGGUGCACAGUCAUAUAAAACAAGAGGCACUAACCUACGCUUAUUAGGCAAACCUAACCCCUUUCAAUGCGGCAAAAUAAUCUUUGACAACAGAUUCCACGGCAGAAAUCUUCAUAUACAAAACAUUCAUGUAGCAUCAAAAAGCCUUCUGGUAGUAGCAGCCUAUCAGCACAGACUUCCAAAAUAUAAAAAAAUAGCACUACUAGUUUUAGAAGAGGAUGAAACAAAUACAGAUUUCAACAAGUGAUGAAACCUCCUCACCCAAACCAAAUCGUGUUUCCCACGUAUUCACCCAACACAAACACUAGGACAUCAAAGACAGGUUGAUAACCUGUCAAUUUCUUCCCAUAUGUGACUAACCCACUCAAGACAAAAAUUUAAGGGAGACUUUCAAAAUGGCAAGUAGUUACAAUAACCCCAUUUUACCUGCUUGAUUUAAAAGGCUAUUAAGGAAAAUCACUCCCACCUCCAGUCCUCUCUCCUCCCGAGUU